rnacentral:rRNA from 1 species
CGGAACGGGUGAGUAAUAUAUCGAACGUGCCCAGUAGUGGGGGAUAACUGCUCGAAAGAGCAGCUAAUACCGCAUACGACCUGAGGGUGAAAGGGGGGGAUCGCAAGACCUCUCGCUAUUGGAGCGGCCGAUAUCAGAUUAGCUAGUUGGUGGGGUAAAGGCCUACCAAGGCAACGAUCUGUAGUUGGUCUGAGAGGACGACCAGCCACACUGGGACUGAGACACGGCCCAG